UAAACGAUGUCGACUUGGAGGUUGUGCCCUUGAGGCGUGGCUUCCGGAGCUAACGCGUUAAGUCGACCGCCUGGGGAGUACGGCCGCAAGGUUAAAACUCAAAUGAAUUGACGGGGGCCCGCACAAGCGGUGGAGCAUGUGGUUUAAUUCGAUGCAACGCGAAGAACCUUACCUACUCUUGACAUCCAGAGAACUUAGCAGAGAUGCUUUGGUGCCUUCGGGAACUCUGAGACAGGUGCUGCAUGGCUGUCGUCAGCUCGUGUUGUGAAAUGUUGGGUUAAGUCCCGCAACGAGCGCAACCCUUAUCCUUUGUUGCCAGCGGUUAGGCCGGGAACUCAAAGGAGACUGCCAGUGAUAAACUGGAGGAAGGUGGGGAUGACGUCAAGUCAUCAUGGCCCUUACGAGUAGGGCUACACACGUGCUACAAUGGCGCAUACAAAGAGAAGCGACCUCGCGAGAGCAAGCGGACCUCAUAAAGUGCGUCGUAGUCCGGAUUGGAGUCUGCAACUCGACUCCAUGAAGUCGGAAUCGCUAGUAAUCGUAGAUCAGAAUGCUACGGUGAAUACGUUCCCGGGCCUUGUACACACCGCCCGUCACACCAUGGGAGUGGGUUGCAAAAGAAGUAGGUAGCUUAACCUUCGGGAGGGCGCUUACCACUUUGUGAUUCAUGACUGGGGUGAAGUCGUAACAAGGUAACCGUAGGGGAACCUGCGGUUG
rnacentral:rRNA from 1 species